rnacentral:rRNA from 1 species
CCUUUGACGUUAGCGGCGGACGGGUGAGUAACACGUGGGUAACCUACCUAUAAGACUGGGAUAACUUCGGGAAACCGGAGCUAAUACCGGAUAAUAUUUCGAACCGCAUGGUUCGAUAGUGAAAGAUGGUUUUGCUAUCACUUAUAGAUGGACCCGCGCCGUAUUAGCUAGUUGGUAAGGUAACGGCUUACCAAGGCGACGAUACGUAGCCGACCUGAGAGGGUGAUCGGCCACACUGGAACUGAGACACGGUCCAGACUCCUACGGGAGGCAGCAGAU